CGCUGGUUCGAUAGCUUUUCAAGUCAUCGAUGUUUUCCUAAGUUUCGCACCUUGGAUUGACAACUAACUACUAAGCUAAUUUCCUAGCUAAGUUACCUACCAAAAAGAAUUUUCACCUAGCGCAAUGAAUAUAAUCGAUUGCUGUAAUCGGAAAUCGAUAUUACCAACAUCUAGCUACACCGAUAGUACCACACAAACAUCGAUUUUUGUUCCAGCUCUAUUUCGUGGAACCUUUGCGUGAUUUGCUAUACGAAAUUACUCAAGAAAAGGAUUCCCUAAACGCAAGGCCAUACCCAGUGUGACGUAACGAAACGGAGAGACCAAUCCCAGGUGUUACCACGCAGGACUUGUUACUUUUAGCCUGAAGGAACCGACCAGGAAGAACCGAAAUCGGAAGGAACCGUAGCAGACCAACCUUAAACAGGAUAACCAGUCACCCAUUACCACUUGUCUCUGUGUGCGUACGCGUGUGUGUGUUUGAUUUGUGUGCGUUUCGUCGAGUGUCCCCAAGGA